rnacentral:misc_RNA from 1 species
GCACAAGGAUAAAAUAAGCCAGAGAUUUUAUCAUUCUAGUCAUGACUUGAAGCUGCACUUAUGUCCUUGCAAGGAAGCAAUGGUGUAUACUAGUGGCAUGUCCUUUCCUAAUUUUUCUACUUGUUAUUUUCCCUCCUUCUAUGUUCUUUUGAUUUUUCUUGAGGGAAUGUGUCCUAAUUUUAAUAGUUUGAGUUGCAAUAUAU